UCUAGAAGCAGACACAAGACAGCAAAAGUAAACGUAUAACAAGGAUUCCUGUGUACCUCAAUUGAAGAAAUGAAUCAAGGGUGUGAGAAAUGAUUUCCAGGUCAAGCAGCAUUAAUAGAUGAAUGGAAGUCUUGAAUCAUAAGAAUAUCUGCACUACUAUUAAUCUUCUCAUCAUUCCCAUCACCAAUCUCUUUCCACUUAUGACUGUGAUUGUGACUUUGUUGCUGAGACUCCACAUCUUUUUUACAUCAUGGUGACCAAAACUGGAUGCAGUAUGCAACAGAAUGCAGCAAAAGUGAAUGAAAUGCAUUCUUAAAAGAAUAAUGCCGGAGAGGAUAGAAAUCUCAACUUUAAUUUCCUGAUAGUGACUGGUAAAGGUACCUGAAGAGAAGAAUCAAGAAAAAAAAAUUGUGAUUGAUAUUCUGCAGAAUGGCUGAUGGUCAGAACAGAUUUACAGAAUUAUAUCAGAGGUGGGUUUCAGCAGGUUCUGACUAGUUCUGGAGAACCGGUAGCGGAAAUUUUCAAUAGUUCGGAGAACAGGUAGUAAAAAUUCUGACUGGCCCCACCCCCAUCUGUUCUCUGCCUCCUGAAUCACAGCUGAUUAGAAGGAAAUGGGGAUUUUGCAGUAACCUUCCCAUGGAUUGGGGAGGGAAUGGAGAUUUUACAGUAUCCUUCCCUUGCCGCGCUCACCAAGCCAUGCCCACCAAGCCAUGCCACGCCCACCAAGCCACACCCACAGAACAGGUAGUAAAAAAUUUUGAAACUCACCACUGAAUUACAUGAAUUAAUUUUUGCAACGAAUUGAGGAAAUAAAGUCAUAUCUACUGUGUCUAAUAUUUCAUUGUAUCAGUCCUCAUCCUUCUCCUCACCAACUUUCCAGAUAAAUUGGUUUGGGCAAAAGUACUUGAGGGCGAGGAAGGAAAGUAACACAGGAACCCAUUUUCUCCCCAGAGAAAGCUCUCUGGCACAUUAGCAGCCUAAUUCAUUCAGCAACCCUGUUCCUUUUGCUUUUCUAGGCUGCUCCUAUCCUUUUGGGAUUUACUAUGUAAUGGUAAUUAUAUAAUGAUAAUUUAGAGACCUACUUAGGGUGUGAAAGCUAGAAAACUCUUGGAUUUUUAUUUUUUUCAGAAUUUGACCUGCAACUUCUCUCAACAACGUUUUUUUUCAUUACUUUUUACUGUUAGUUUUAAAUGUGAUUUUCGAGUCCCUUAACUGCCUUUCAUCAUUCUUUCCAAUUUAAUAUUAUUUUAAAAUGGAAGGAUAUGUUUAAGG